rnacentral:rRNA from 1 species
UUUGAGAGUUUGAUCCUGGCUCAGGACGAACGCUGGCGGCGUGCCUAAUACAUGCAAGUCGAACGAACUCUGGUAUUGAUUGGUGCUUGCAUCAUGAUUUACAUUUGAGUGAGUGGCGAACUGGUGAGUAACACGUGGGAAACCUGCCCAGAAGCGGGGGAUAACACCUGGAAACAGAUGCUAAUACCGCAUAACAACUUGGACCGCAUGGUCCGAGCUUGAAAGAUGGCUUCGGCUAUCACUUUUGGAUGGUCCCGCGGCGUAUUAGCUAGAUGGUGGGGUAACGGCUCACCAUGGCAAUGAUACGUAGCCGACCUGAGAGGGUAAUCGGCCACAUUGGGACUGAGACACGGCCCAAACUCCUACGGGAGGCAGCAGUAGGGAAUCUUCCACAAUGGACGAAAGUCUGAUGGAGCAACGCCGCGUGAGUGAAGAAGGGUUUCGGCUCGUAAAACUCUGUUGUUAAAGAAGAACAUAUCUGAGAGUAACUGUUCAGGUAUUGACGGUAUUUAACCAGAAAGCCACGGCUAACUACGUGCCAGCAGCCGCGGUAAUACGUAGGUGGCAAGCGUUGUCCGGAUUUAUUGGGCGUAAAGCGAGCGCAGGCGGUUUUUUAAGUCUGAUGUGAAAGCCUUCGGCUCAACCGAAGAAGUGCAUCGGAAACUGGGAAACUUGAGUGCAGAAGAGGACAGUGGAACUCCAUGUGUAGCGGUGAAAUGCGUAGAUAUAUGGAAGAACACCAGUGGCGAAGGCGGCUGUCUGGUCUGUAACUGACGCUGAGGCUCGAAAGUAUGGGUAGCAAACAGGAUUAGAUACCCUGGUAGUCCAUACCGUAAACGAUGAAUGCUAAGUGUUGGAGGGUUUCCGCCCUUCAGUGCUGCAGCUAACGCAUUAAGCAUUCCGCCUGGGGAGUACGGCCGCAAGGGUGAAACUCAAAGGAAUUGACGGGGGCCCGCACAAGCGGUGGAGCAUGUGGUUUAAUUCGAAGCUACGCGAAGAACCUUACCAGGUCUUGACAUACUAUGCAAAUCUAAGAGAUUAGACGUUCCCUUCGGGGACAUGGAUACAGGUGGUGCAUGGUUGUCGUCAGCUCGUGUCGUGAGAUGUUGGGUUAAGUCCCGCAACGAGCGCAACCCUUAUUAUCAGUUGCCAGCAUUAAGUUGGGCACUCUGGUGAGACUGCCGGUGACAAACCGGAGGAAGGUGGGGAUGACGUCAAAUCAUCAUGCCCCUUAUGACCUGGGCUACACACGUGCUACAAUGGAUGGUACAACGAGUUGCGAACUCGCGAGAGUAAGCUAAUCUCUUAAAGCCAUUCUCAGUUCGGAUUGUAGGCUGCAACUCGCCUACAUGAAGUCGGAAUCGCUAGUAAUCGCGGAUCAGCAUGCCGCGGUGAAUACGUUCCCGGGCCUUGUACACACCGCCCGUCACACCAUGAGAGUUUGUAACACCCAAAGUCGGUGGGGUAACCUUUUAGGAACCAGCCGCCUAAGGUGGGACAGAUGAUUAGGGUGAAGUCGUAACAAGGUAGCCGUAGGAGAACCUGCGGCUGGAUCACCUCCUU